ACUCUAGUCCGACUUUGUGAAAUGACUUGAGAGGUGUAGUAUAAGUGGGAGCUUCGGCGAAAUUGAAAUACCACUACUUUUAACGUUAUUUUACUUAUUCGGUGAAACGGAGGCGGGGCAUCGCCCCUCUUUUUGGACCCAAGGCCGGCCUCGCGCCGGCCGAUCCGGGCGGCAGACAUUGUCAGGUGGGGAGUUUGGCUGAGGCGGCA
rnacentral:rRNA from 1 species